GUCUUAAAAAUGAAGUGGACUUGAAGAAGAGGAAUUCACAAAAUUAGCAUUAUUUUACCUUUUUCCUUUACAGAGGUAUAUUUGGCUAUUUUGUGAGGCAUAC
rnacentral:snoRNA from 1 species